UACGGAGGGUGCAAGCGUUAAUCGGAAUUACUGGGCGUAAAGCGUGCGCAGGCGGUUUGUUAAGUCCGUUGUGAAAGCCCCGAGCUCAACUUGGGAAUUGCAGUGGAUACUGGCAGGCUGGAGUACGGUAGAGGAAGGUGGAAUUCCCGGUGUAGCAGUGAAAUGCGUAGAUAUCGGGAGGAACACCAGUGGCGAAGGCGGCCUUCUGGACCAGUACUGACGCUGAGACGCGAAAGCGUGGGGAGCGAACAGG
rnacentral:rRNA from 1 species